ACUAUGCUCAGCCCUUAACAUAGACAAUACAAACACAAUAUUGUCCGCCAGAGAACUACAAGUGAAAAACUAGAAACUCCAAGGACUUGGCGGUGCCCCACAUCAACCUAGAGGAGCCUGUCCUAUAAUCGAUAAUCCACGUUGCACCUUACCAUUUCUCGCAAUUCAGCCUAUAUACCGCCGUCGGAAGCUUACCUUAUGAAAGAAACAAAGUAAGCAAAAUAGUCAACAACUAAAACGUCAGGUCAAGGUGUAGCACAUGAAAUGGAAGAGAUGGGCUACAUUUUCUACUUCAGAAAACACGAACAGAACAAUGAAACCUGCACUCAAAGGAGGAUUUAGCAGUAAGACAAAAAAGAAACUUUGCCUUAAACCCGCUCUGGGGCGCGCACACACCGCCCGUCACCCUC
rnacentral:rRNA from 1 species